GAGAAUCCACACAGGAGAGCGACCCUAUGAAUGCUGUUUGUUUUUUUCCCUCAUCCCUGCAUGAUGACAUGGAGAAAAUUCAAAUGCAGUUCAGUCAACAAGAGAGAAUACUCCAAGCUAUUGGACAUAUUAUCAAAGGAACAAUAGCUUGGAUUGUUUUUAAAAAAUUGUGUUUUUAAAUCUCCACUCUGAAAAAGUGAACAGCAGCAGACCCUAAACGGUGCAACUGACAGAAGUGCACAUGACCACAGUGUAAUUCAGUUGUUUAAAUCAAUCGUGUCUCAGAUGAUCCAGGGAUAGAAUUCCACAGCAAGUGACUUGAAACUUUGAAAAAUGCCCAGAUGUUUGGUUCCCAAAGCAUUUCUGACCUGAUCCCUACAGGAGGUUACUCAUGAAGAGAUCUCCUAGCUAAUCCCAAAAUUUGGGAAAUGCUGUCUGUGAUGAGGUGUAUCAACCCUGCACUAGCACUCCUAGGGUUAACUUCACCUUGUGGACUGAAGAAGCCACAACCCUUCACCCUUCCUUGGCAUGGUCCGAUUGUAGACAGAGUAUAAAAGGGAGCAGUUCAGCUCAGCCUGGGCUGACUGAGGAGGAGAGCAAACCUGUAUUGUGGGCUCCUGCCAGGAAGCUGCUCGACCCCAGGCUGCAGAGGCCAGCCGUGCUGAGGCACCUGCAGACAACCAGUCGACUGCCAAGGAUGGCCAAGAAGAGAUGCCGGAUGCUGGGAGACUACUGACGCUGGAAGUAAGGGUGGGAAGUGACCAGGAACUGGACUGUUGCAGUGAGAAAUCAGGACACAGGAAUAUUGGUUCCUCAAGGCCAUGGGUCAGGACCUGGUGGGGUAGAGCAGUCCCAGGUCCCUCUACCCUGCACUGCACUCACCACUGGAUGUGGUCACCACCUCACAACAACCUGUCUUGACCCAGGGGACAGAUUUCUUCCCCCCAAAUCCCUGCAUUUUUAUGCAGCCCCACACCCUGCAACAGGAUGUAUCAACCCCAUGGAACUUUCUCAUAAUGAUGUAGAUGUGGAGGAAACAGAAGAGGUGUUUUUGUUGAACUCACCAUGUGUGGGUGCUAUAACUGUGUGUAAGAUGAAAUCGGUGUUGAAUGUGAGAUGGCUGCAGAAAAAUAGCUUUUUUAAUAGAAAUCUCAUCUCUUGUAUCUUACAGAGAUUCUGAUCCAAGUCCUGUAUCUAAUCCCUAACCACAACUGUACUCAAGGGUUCACUGGUGGAAAGGGGGAUUAAAAGAAAACUAACAUUUUUGAGAGGAUUCUUUAAUCAUUGAGUAUUUAUUUUUACCAAUGAAAAUGAAAUGAAACAUGAAAUUACUCUUUAACAAGGAAGAGAUUUAAUUAUGUGAUCAAUAUGAAUUAUACUGGAAAAA